rnacentral:lncRNA from 1 species
UUGGAGUUUUAUUUGGUUUUACGGGGAGGGGGGCAACAGUGUUUGAAUUGUGCUUGUCGGUUUUUAUUAUGAUUUGGAAUAAGAAUGGUUUCUUGAGUUUGUGGUGUCUUGACGAUUUUUUCUACACGGUAUCUUCGGGUUUUGGAAACAUGGAAGUUCUUGGAGUCUUAUGGGAAGUACUGGAUGUGAAUAAAGACUGUUGUUUUCUUUGGUGGGUGAUGGGUUGGUUCGUAUAUAUGUCUGUAAGGUUCAGUUGGCAGGAGGUCGGGAUUCUGGUAUACUUAUGGUUACUAAAAAGAAUAAGAGGUUCGAAGUGGAAAGGCGUAAGGUGGUGUGUCA